UUGCUCAAAACCACCAUUCACUCUCAGUCAGGUCAAGAAAGCCAUAGCACCUCACUGUUUCCAGCGCUCUGUUCUGCGCUCAUUCUCUUAUCUUGUUUAUGAUUUUAUCUUGGUCUCUCUCUUCUAUUAUGUGGCUACCGAUUAUUUUCAUCAGCUUCCUCACCCUCUCUCUUAUGUGGCCUGGCCAAUUUAUUGGGCAGUCCAGGGCAGCGUCUUAACUGGUGUUUGGGUUAUAGCACAUGAGUGUGGCCACCAUGCCUUCAGUGAUUAUCAAUGGCUGGAUGAUGCUGUUGGUUUUGUCCUUCACUCAUCUCUGCUUGUUCCUUACUUCUCUUGGAAAUAUAGCCAUCGCCGUCACCAUUCUAACACUGGUUCCCUUGACCGGGAUGAAGUGUUUGUCCC
rnacentral:lncRNA from 1 species